AGGACACUUUGCAUUGGCAGCACAUGCUUCAGUGGUCUGGGAGUGUUUAUAACCCUGUGAGUUUAACACUUCAUGACUGAGACCUGUUUUUCAUGACAACAGAACCCACAUCAACAAUGACUUUUAUCACCAUCUUCAUCUGGACACUUGCCCUCUACUUCAAGGACUCUAGAGGACAGAUCAUUGUGACUCAGACUCCUGCAGUGAAAGCUGUUCUCCCAGGACACUCAAUUUCUCUAAACUGUAAAGCCAGCAGUAAUGUGUAUGGUGAUUGUCUCAAUGGUCAGUCAUCGGGCCAUCAGUGUCUAUCCUGGUACCAACAGAAACCAGGAGAAAAGCCCAAACUCAUGAUGCUCCCAGGGAACACACUCUAUUCUGGGACUCCAUCUAGAUUCAGUGGCAGUGGAUCUGGGAGUGACUUCACUCUGACCAUCAGUGGAGUCCAGGCUGAAGAUGCAGGAUAUUACUACUGUCAGAGUUACCACAGUGGUAAUGUGUUCACACAGUGAUACAGAGCCGUACAAAAACCUCCCUCAGUCAGACUGCACAGUGACUGUACUGAUACAGCUGGGACCUACUGCAGGUGCUGAGGGGAGGAGAUGAUCCAGUACAAUGACACAGUGUGUAGUAGAGCUGAACAACAAUAGAGUCAAACUAGAGCUAUUUGUAGAAGACCUUAGAUCAUAACUGAUCACUAAAUGUUUCUCCUGACCAUUAACUACAUGUUGACUCUGUUGAGUAACUCAAGGAAAACCCUCAACCAAUCUGAAUAGAGAUGAUGUGCAAUGAUCCAAACCCCUAAAGAUGACCUGUGUUUUGAAUACACCCCUGGACAGUGAGGGUCAGGGUGCUGCUCCAGCUGUACAGACCGUCCUUCUCCAGGAUCCUGCUUUUGGCUGGUCCACUUUCCAGCUCAAGGUCCAGUCUGAGGGGAAGCUCUUGUUGGCCAGACAUGUCAGUGUGGCUGUUGUUAUACUGGACAGCUCCUCACUAGAGGGGGGCAGGACGGUCAGGUUAGGGGAACUGUUCCCUAGAAGAAACACAACUCAUCAAAAACAUCAAAACACAGUACACUUUGGAAAUUACUUCUAAAACUGUAUAUGAAUAUAAAAGUUAUAUUGCUGAAAGAUGUAGAGAAAACCUAAACAGCAAUAUGAUAUUAAACAAAUUACAAGUAUAAAGUAUACAAGUAUGUGUUUAAUUUUAGCAUUACUUUGCCAUACAGAUGUGUUUUUAGGAACGUAUCUGAUCAGAAAACUCAUAUUAAUAGUAUUUGCAGAAGCCAAGCAGUUGGACACAAACAAAACGUAGACCAUUUAUCUUCACAUUAAUAUUGUGGCUAUCAUAAACUCAAUGAAAUGAUGACUACUGUCAGGAUUUGGCCAGGGUUGUUCCGGUUUUUGGUCACUAGAUGCCCCCAUUGUGCCUUUUGACCUUUUGUUUUCCCUUGAUCCCCAUUAUUAUUUGCACCUGUGCCUCGUUUCCCCUGAUUGUAUUUAAACCCGUUGUUUUCCUCUGUUCUUUGCUCUGUUUUUUGUUCUUGUUUGUUUUUGAGUAUCUUUUGAGGCUUUUUGUGCUAUACCUUCCACCUUGUGGAUUUACCUUUUUGUCUUGGAGGAUUACCUUUGUUCUUGUGGAAUUCCUUUUGAGGUUGUGGAGUUACAUGUUUUCCUGAAGAACUUCACUUUUUACUUCAUUAAAUACACCGUCUCAAGUA